GAUGAAAAGAGAGCGGUGGGAAGAAAGGGAGGAAAUGCUCACAGUGGAGACUGUGGAUUACCGUGAUUGUGCCGAAAAAGAGCACUUGUGCCUCUUUUUCCUGGAUGAAUAAAUGGAGACGAGAGCUGCCAAAGUUGCGAAGAUAUUUUUAAGUAUAGCCAAGAGGACAAACCUGUCUGUCUUGCAGAAGACACAAUCUGCCUGAAGCAAACAAACCCCCCUUAAGCAGCACACACAGAUCUGAUGGAUGUCCUGUGUUGCACAAACUGUUUCCUCUGCUACACCUAGAAGUUGUAAACUUGCCUCUGGACAUACAGUAACAACAGAGACACAUGUCUUCACACAGACAGAGACAGCAUGCAGAAGUGGACAGAGUGGGAAUAUUCCUGACUCUCUCCCUGGCAGAGACAUGAACCACAGACAGAGAAGAAGGAAAACAGAAAGAGGGAAAAGAAUCAGCUCUUAUGUAAUACCUUCAAACCACAAAUAGCACACAGUGAACAGUGGCAAACCCACACAUACAGUACACCCAUACGAUCUAGAGCUGCCAUCUUAGCACACGGAGACACAGAAUCACCAAUUACAUUUCUGACUGAUAGCAGCAUGUGCAGUUAUGAGCUAAGAAUACAUGAGUAAUGAUAAACAUGUCUGUGAGCCACAACAGAGGUGAUGUGAUACUGGAUGAGAUAACUAUGUGUGUGCGCACACACACACAGGAGAGGAAAUUAGAGAAGCUUCUCAACUAUCACAGACUAUUCAUCUCAGCUCUCAAUCCCUCGCAUGAUGACAGAAAGGUCACGAAUCUGACAUUUUAUAUAGCAGCACCAUGAGGUCAACAUUUCCCCUGACCAAUAUUUAGGUGCAUAACAAUCUUAAAAAUUAAUUGGUGGAUUUAAAUUCAAUUUGCAGUGAUUAUUUUAGACAUGCUAGCAUGGCUUUGGGGGUGGCAUUGUUGGUCUGUCAGCUGGUCUGUCUACCACUGAUCCAGACUGAAAUAUCUCAAUUAGUGGAAAGAAAUCCUGACCUAAUUGUUAGAUAAGCGUGGGAAUUACUGAGAACACUUUCAUUUUUGGACACCAAAAUAUCCACUUUCCAUACAAGGUAUUUGGAAAUACUAAAGGUCUAAUGUGCAGAUUGUCCUGACAUUUGUUGAGUGAAACCCCCGUCAAGAUGAGUUAUUUUCAUUUUAAAUGUCCUCACAAUGCUCCACUCUAGCACUAACCUGAAGACACAUUUUAAAUGUUUAUGACUAGUUCUUCUAAGAAUAACAGAGUCGUCAGUAUGUUGUCUAACAUAAUGAUAUUGUGGCGUGUAAUUGCAGCUUUCGUUCUUUUAAUUUUAGACAUGGGCACUAACCAUGUUUCAAUUACAAGUUGCAUUAAAAGAAACGUCAAAACUGCCGCUGUCAUUAAAUGUUUCUACUUUGAUCAACAUUUACACAGUGCAGAUGUCAAACAGCAAACGUACAAUGUAAUAAACAUGUCAGUGUCAGUAUUUACAAUGUAAGUGCUCCCGGUCAUGUGUCUUAACUCAAACAGCUAUAAAGUUAACAUAACUACGGCGGUUACACAGACAUGAGGGAUUAGAGGAUAACAUGUGAGUUUCGUUUAUGGUGUGAAAUAUAUUUUUGAGCUUCGGCUUUAAAAGCUUCAGUCGGUGAAUUAGACCGUUACUGAGCAGUGAGCAGUGUGUAGCAUUUAGUGGCGUCUAGCAUUGAAGUUGCAGAUUGGAACUAAAACCAAAAGGCAAUCUACAGCCAGUGUUUGGUUUAUCCGGUCUCAGCUACUGCAGAAACAUGUUGGUUCAACAUGGCAACAUCCGCAGAAGAUGAUUAAGUUUUCAUUCUUAGGUAACAAAAACACAAUGAUUCUCAU